CUUCGCUUGGUAAUUUUAGGGGUGGUUGUCAUGGUGUGAAACCCGUGCUUAGCAUUUAUUUCUCAACGCCUGUCCUUGCACGGUCACAAAAUUCUCACUACAAUGGAAAACAGCCUCCAAACAAUUCCCUUUAUCAGCAUCAGAACCAAACCGCUUUAAAAAAAAAAAAACCAAAAACAUUCUGCAAGCAAAUAUUUCGGUUAGAAUUUGGUUGCCUACCCAAAUGUUAUUUAUUCUCAAGAAGGAGAGGUGAUGUCUUGGUGGCGAUGAUACAUAAUUCCUGCCCCUCUUUUUCCGUGUGUGUUGGGGCGGGGCGAGGCUGGGGGUGGUAUUUGAGUAGACGCCAAACGACUCCUAUGGGCUGCUCUCGUCUCUUUCCGGCGCGGACACCAAGGAGUUAAACCCGAGCUCCGGGGCCGCCCCUCUUGCCCCGCCUCCCUCGCUUCUGCGGGACCGCCCUGAUUGGCUGGCACUCCGCCAGCGGGCUGUCCAUCACCAAGUGUAAACAAGGCGCUGAUUGGCUGUUAUCCAGUCCGCACAGGGCCUCCUGAAAAAAGCAAUUACUGGCUUCGCGGUUUCAAGGCUGCCCAAGGCCGCUUGAUGAAAGGAGAUAAACCGAGGACCGUUUCCAGGAUCCCCGCGGGCCGACCCAGGCGGCUCCCGAGCCGAGGUGCGGCGGAGAGCCCGGGGAUCAAAGGCAUCUGAAGAGAAAGGGGAAGCGGGCGCACUGCCGGGCCGGCCUGGCCCCCCGCGGGCCGCGCUGACCUGGGGUGGGGGCGGCGGGCGGGGACUCCGGGACGGGGCCUCGGCCGGCGCCGGCGCCGCUCCGGGUAUAGCCCCAAAGUAAGAUUGGCUUCAAGUCCUCCAAGACACCUGCUUCCACUGCUGGAUGCACCAGACCUGGUUUUGAAGGAAGUACAGUGGCCACAGGAUUACAGAUUUCAGCUGUGUGCAAAUGUGUUCACACAGGUCGAACGGCGGCGGGGUAUGUCUGGAGUGACUCUCAGGAGCCAGAUUUCUGCUGCCUGGUCUCACAGUGUCAGGGAAACCAGAGGAGGCUCCUGCCUCUGCUAGGCCCUAGAAAGACAUGCAGGCUGAGUGUCAGGAACUCCUCCGACCCAGCUUUGCUGAACUCUAGGCCCAGGGUUUGCAGGAUCCACAGCCACCAGCCCCUGGCCACCUCAGUUCCGGCUCCUCACCACCCCAGCCCUGUCAGCAGGCAAUCUCCUACUCUCUUCCUUUCAAGCUCCCACACUGUGAAAAGUCCAGUUAGCCAGACUUCCCCCCCACAGAGAGAGCCUGGUUGGGUCACUUCCCUUGUUCUGGAGCUUUCUCUACCCCCAGCUCCCUGGUGGUAGUCCCGCUUUCGGAGUAGGACUUUACACCCAGCAGAAGAACCCCGGAAGGUUUCUAUCAGUUAUAUGACACAUACACUGUGCACCUUCUCCGUAAUUUCUGUGGAGGAUUGAGUCCUUAGUCUAGUUACCUGCAGUAUUUAUAAACCAAAUAAAAUUUCCUUCCAAGUUCCCAACUGAGUCAGGUCCUGUGGCAAAGCUCUGUCUCUAGCCUGGAGACAACUGGACCACCUGACUGCCGGCUGGAGUGUGGUGUGGCCACCGCCUCUUUUGUUAACAGGACAGUUGAUCCAUUAAAUUAAAAAUCAGUCAAUAGAUCCAUUUUUUCCUAACGUGUGUGAAUACACAUUCCACCCUAAUUCUCAGACAUCAAUGCCAGCGGAGGUAGGGAACUACCAAGGGACGUUUCCACAAGUGGCCCCAAUAGGAAACUACCGGAAUAACCUCAUCACCAGAAUCCAGGAUAGCCAGAGGAACCUGGCUAGGGGCCAUCACUAAACCCCCAGUUCCCCCAACUCACUUUCUAGCAUGCCCCACUUGGGCAGACGCUGAAAUGCGGGGAUGCAGACAGAGCUGUGGGUCAGCCCCAGUGGCACUGGGGAUCCGGCAUGAGGCCCCUUGCGGCUUCUCUCUGCGCGCUGAACGCGCAGACACAAUUGGGGGGGACGGGGUAGUCUUCUUCCCACCGGGUUUUUAAGUAGCAGGAUUUUCAGAUGCAAACAAACAAACAAAAAGCCUCCUGAGGUGGGCGGUAAAAAAAAAAAAAAAAAAUCAAAGCCUCUACAUCCGAGCCAGAAACAAAAGCUCUUUGGAAGUGCCGCGGCGGGCGGGCGGAGUGCAUCUCGGAUCCCGAGGAGGAGCCGCCCGGACCCGCAUCCGGAGAAGGAGCCGGCGGGUGUCCCCACCUGCUCGCCGGCCGCUCAGUCCUGUCCCCGAGAGGAGGAAGGCGGC
rnacentral:lncRNA from 1 species